rnacentral:lncRNA from 1 species
GUGCAGUUGGUCCCCCUGGCUUCGCUGGUGAGAAGGGUCCCUCUGGAGAGGCUGGUACUGCUGGACCUCCUGGCACUCCAGGUCCUCAGGGUCUUCUUGGUGCUCCUGGUAUUCUGGGUCUCCCUGGCUCGAGAGGUGAACGUGGUCUACCAGGUGUUGCUGGUGCUGUGGGUGAACCUGGUCCUCUUGGCAUUGCCGGCCCUCCUGGGGCCCGUGGUCCUCCUGGUGCUGUGGGUAGUCCUGGAGUCAACGGUGCUCCUGGUGAAGCUGGUCGUGAUGGCAACCCUGGGAACGAUGGUCCCCCAGGUCGCGAUGGUCAACCCGGACACAAGGGAGAGCGCGGUUACCCUGGCAAUAUUGGUCCCGUUGGUGCUGCAGGUGCACCUGGUCCUCAUGGCCCCGUGGGUCCUGCUGGCAAACAUGGAAACCGUGGUGAAACUGGUCCUUCUGGUCCUGUUGGUCCUGCUGGUGCUGUUGGCCCAAGAGGUCCUAGUGGCCCACAAGGCAUUCGUGGCGAUAAGGGAGAGCCCGGUGAAAAGGGGCCCAGAGGUCUUCCUGGCUUAAAGGGACACAAUGGAUUGCAAGGUCUGCCUGGUAUCGCUGGUCACCAUGGUGAUCAAGGUGCUCCUGGCUCCGUGGGUCCUGCUGGUCCUAGGGGCCCUGCUGGUCCUUCUGGCCCUGCUGGAAAAGAUGGUCGCACUGGACAUCCUGGUACAGUUGGACCUGCUGGCAUUCGAGGCCCUCAGGGUCACCAAGGCCCUGGCCCCCCUGGUCCCCCUGGCCCUCCUGGACCUCCAGGUGUAAGCGGUGGUGGUUAUGACUUUGGUUACGAUGGAGACUUCUACAGGGCUGACCAGCCUCGCUCAGCACCUUCUCUCAGACCCAAGGACUAUGAAGUUGAUGCUACUCUGAAGUCUCUCAACAACCAGAUUGAGACCCUUCUUACUCCUGAAGGCUCUAGAAAGAACCCAGCUCGCACAUGCCGUGACUUGAGACUCAGCCACCCAGAGUGGAGCAGUGGUUACUACUGGAUUGACCCUAACCAAGGAUGCACUAUGGAUGCUAUCAAAGUAUACUGUGAUUUCUCUACUGGCGAAACCUGUAUCCGGGCCCAACCUGAAAACAUCCCAGCCAAGAACUGGUAUAGGAGCUCCAAGGACAAGAAACACGUCUGGCUAGGAGAAACUAUCAAUGCUGGCAGCCAGUUUGAAUAUAAUGUAGAAGGAGUGACUUCCAAGGAAAUGGCUACCCAACUUGCCUUCAUGCGCCUGCUGGCCAACUAUGCCUCUCAGAACAUCACCUACCACUGCAAGAACAGCAUUGCAUACAUGGAUGAGGAGACUGGCAACCUGAAAAAGGCUGUCAUUCUACAGGGCUCUAAUGAUGUUGAACUUGUUGCUGAGGGCAACAGCAGGUUCACUUACACUGUUCUUGUAGAUGGCUGCUCUAAAAAGACAAAUGAAUGGGGAAAGACAAUCAUUGAAUACAAAACAAAUAAGCCAUCACGCCUGCCCUUCCUUGAUAUUGCACCUUUGGACAUCGGUGGUGCUGACCAGGAAUUCUUUGUGGACAUUGGCCCAGUCUGUUUCAAAUAAAU